AUAACUAUUAUUGCAGAUUGUUUAAGAGUUCGGUGUUAUUUCCAGAUUUUCUAAUCUUUUAUUUAUAUUUCUCCCUUUCAGAUAUUAGUAAACACUCGGUCUCUUGGCAUAAAGAUUGUAACCAAAAUGUUGCUCAAGGCCGGUUUUUGGACAACACGGAUUUUGGCAGAAGGAAUACUUCUGGUUGGCGCUGGACGGACAUGUCACACACACAGGACGAAAUUUGCUGCCGUUCCAUUAGCCGGGUUACUUGGCUUGGCUUAAACCCUGUCAUGGACACAAUUAUUUCCGCCAGGGAAUUCAACAUAAAUUGGCUGACCUCCUCCGUUCAUAGAAUCGGAGGGGUCAGAGAUGGUUUUAACGGUUGGUGUAAAUGUUGGCGUUGCCUAAACAAUAUAUAAAAGGACACACAAACAUUUAAACACCAUUAAUGUAAUACCAUACAACACAAUACUCACUUUAACUUGUUCGCACAACCGCAUUCACACACAACAAUAAAACACAAGUGUUAAUUACACACAAAAACAAAAUUUAAUUAAAUUUUUUUUUUUUUUGGGAGAUUCUCUUCAAAUUUCUGGUAUGGUGAAAUAAAAAAAAUGUCUCCUUUGCUGAACACCAAACAAACUGCCCCGAUUUUCCCCCGUUAUGCCUUUUAUAUGGCCGCAGCCAUUUACAAUUUUCCGGGAUUCUCGCGCAAUUUUCCUGAUUCAUCACAUUACCUUUGUCGUGCCUACUGAGCCCUACAUCAGAGUUGUAUUUCUCUGGCUUAUAUGUUUUCCACCGGUUGGCAACACUGAUUUCUUCAACCUCUGCGACGAGCUUAACAUAUCCGGUUCAUUUUUCCCUGACCGGCAGCAAGCAAACAUCUCAUGUCGGGGACUUGCUGUUAAUUAUUUAUUCUUUUUUUAAAUAAAAAACCACAUGCAACAAAACUUCACCAUAUCCAGUGAAAACGACGGAUAUGGUGAUGUGCAUGUUUUUUUUCUUUUAACAAUGACUGCGAGGCUAAUAUAAAUUAUCGGGCGAGCCGUCUUGGAGAUCUGGGUGACCACGAGGAAUGUACAAGCAAAAAAAAGUUAAAACAGGCAUGGAACAGAACACGCAGAAAAACCAUAAGCAAGAUUUUACAAAUGAAAUGGCAUUUGAAUGUGUGUGUGUGUAAUUUCAAAAGUGGCGUGGGUUCCACACAUCUAUUGUUCGUGCGUACCCGCAAGCGGUGUUAGCAAUACACCUAUGUGUGAGAGUGUGUUACAAUACUCAUUCAUUCACACAAUGUAACUAAACGCAUUCAUGUCGUCUCAUUUCUUUGAAUGGAUUGAAUACACACCACACAUUGCGGCACUUCACGCAUCACCAAUGUAUUGCACAUUUUCCCAUAACUAACGGAACUCACACAGAAUGGACAGCGUCUUGGAAGUAAGUAGGGAAUUCUUUAAAAAAAAAACACCGUUUACCUACAAAAACGCCCUUGCGCUUCAGGUAGUGUUGUACCAUUAUUGAUUUCAUCUGCACCUGGCGACGACAUAUGGGUAACACCAUACAUGGUUAAAAUGCCAGCCCGAACACCUUUCGUUGCAGAGACAAAUGCUUUGGCCACAUAUACAGGCAAUAAAUUUUUAACUUUGUUGAUGUGGGAAAUUGUCAUAAAAAUGUUUCACCGAGCCAGACAAGUCACUGUGCGCAAUCUGGGGGCACAUCCGUGGUUUUGCUACUUGAGCAACAAAAAGGAUUCGUAAAUCUUUUCGCAGCACAAUUACAACCCAUAAUUUAUAGGUCCCUUGGUGUAAUGUGAAUUUUUGUGGGAGGAGAUUAAUUGCGUAUUGGAACGCUCUUAGAGAUCACUACCUGUGAUGAAAAAGGUGUUUUGGAGCGCAUUUAUCCGAAUAGGAUUCAGAACAGGGAUUUUCAGAUAUUAGUAAACACUCGGUCUCUUGGCAUAAAGAUUGUAACCAAAAUGUUGCUCAAGGCCGGUUUUUGGACAACACGGAUUUUGGCAGAAGGAAUACUUCUGGUUGGCGCUGGACGGACAUGUCACACACACAGGACGAAAUUUGCUGCCGUUCCAUUAGCCGGGUUACUUGGCUUGGCUUAAACCCUGUCAUGGACACAAUUAUUUCCGCCAGGGAAUUCAACAUAAAUUGGCUGACCUCCUCCGUUCAUAGAAUCGGAGGGGUCAGAGAUGGUUUUAACGGUUGGUGUAAAUGUUGGCGUUGCCUAAACAAUAUAUAAAAGGACACACAAACAUUUAAACACCAUUAAUGUAAUACCAUACAACACAAUACUCACUUUAACUUGUUCGCACAACCGCAUUCACACACAACAAUAAAACACAAGUGUUAAUUACACACAAAAACAAAA